CCGUGAGAACAAAGAGCAGUCACACACACACACACACACACACACACACACACACACACACACACACACAACAGCCAUCAAACGCGGGCCUAGGCCAAACGUAGUUGCCUGUGUGCGCGUGUGCGUGCGUGUGUGUGAGGUUCCAGCUCGUUCUCCGUUUCUCCGUUUCUCUACAUCUCUACAUCUCUCUCUGUCCGGCACCGUCGACACACACACACACACCCACGGGCACGCAUCCUCAUACCCACAUACGCAGAGACCUGGGGGAGCUCGUCGAACCAACCGCUGCGCGCAUUACUGUCUCCGCUCGUCGAAAGGAUGCGCAGCAGCGCGUACCAGCUGACGAAGGUCGCGUGCCACGCCGCCGCCAAGCCGAGAAGUGCUGCUCCGGUGACUGGUACGAGCUCGGCAGCCGGCAAGCAGGCCGUGGAGGAGCUGGAGGUCUACCUGCGUGUCAUGAAGACGGCGCAGCGUCGGUGGGCGCGUGAGAUUGUCGCCCAUGAGACGCACGUGCGGCGCUUGAUGAUUAUGGAGGAGCACUGCCGGGAGCGGCUGAAGCAGCAGGUGCUCAAGGGAACCCGUGAGCACCUCAAGUACCUCACGAACACGGAUCUGAUGGCAGCUUCCCAGCUCGUCUCGCCUCCGUCGGUGGACGUCUUCCUUGCUUACGGCAUCCUGCCAGAGCAGGUGAGCGGGUUCACGGUGUACGUCAUGGGGUGUCUCGUGGCGGACCCGAACCGGCUCAAUGUGCCCCUUCCCAUUCUCAUCGCGGACCUCUCCAGCACCUGGGCCAUCGUGCCGCCACGCAAGAAGGAGGCAUACAACGAGCUUGCCGCGAUCUUCCGACCUCACCUACCGCCUCGUGCCGCCGACGUGGAGGGCAACGAUGCUCGAGCGACUGAAGCGACAACCGCGGUGCCCAAACGCAGAGUUGGCGGAACGCUAAAAGCAACUCGAAGGAACACAGCAUCCGGCGAUGCGGGUGUACGAGUGCGCGCCCAUGCACCGCUGCCCCGGCAUGGGCGUGGGUUUCAGCCCAAGCCUUCAGCGGCCGCGACAGGCAAGAGUCCGGUGCCCCAGGUGCUCCGCUCCGCCGGCAAGCAACUCCAAGUGCAGUGUAGGACAGCGACGGCGUCAGCGAGAGCACCAGUGCCCCCAUUGACGUCGCUGUCAUCGCCAACGGCUGCAGCCACACAGCCCUCCACUCUACCGCGAAGCGCGAAGCGCGAGCACAGCGCGUCAAAGACCGCCGCAUGUGUCAACAACCGCGCUGGCAGUAGCGUCAUCUCCCGCUCUCGAUCCCAGCCCGUGGCGCCGCCACCCCAACCGCGGCGUCAGCCUGCUCUUCGUGCGGCUGACAAGGCUGCCGUGGCUGCUCUGGCGGAGGAGCUUCAGCUGCCUGACGCCGAACGGGACGCCUUCUGCCAGUUUGCCGAGGCCAGUCUGCACGAGAUGGAGAUGGCCUUAAACUUGCCGUUUGUGUCGCCCAACAGUGACCGCAGCAGCGGCAGCUCAAAGGCAAAGAGGUCGGCCAAGACGCCGCGCGGCGGCGUACAGCUCGUCGUGAAGGAGUGGCUACCCAUCGCGGCGGAGGAGUGGGCGCGCAAGACGCGGCGGCAGAAGCGCUUCUACAUGCGUGGCUAGGCUGCCCUGAGUCGCCAUGUGACACACGCGGCACCGCAGUGGGCUUAAAAGAGGUUGUGCAUGCAGCUUGUGCUCUAUCUUCUCCCACUGACCCUCUCUUCUGCGCGAGGCGGCGUGGCUUUCGAAUUCGCUGCGGCAAUCGCGGACACGGGAUAGGGUGGACUAUGCCCAUGCGCGGAUGUGAUCUGCAAUGCGACGGUGCUGCCAACAUCGCGUGCACUCACCUUCCUCUUUUAUAUCUGUGCACGAGAACGCACUCGAAGCUCUUCCUUUCUCACAGACCUACCUUGAGAUGGUGCGCCCAACCCUCAUGUGCGCAUCGCUCGCAUGGAUGACACAGGCGUGCCACCCACACCAGCCAACAGUUGGCUGCGGUCAUAGAAGCGGCGUCGUUCUUUCUCUCCUUCUCCCUCUCUCUCGCCCCCUCCAACCUCCACACUCUACUCUCUGCCCGCAACAUCCUUUCGUUCAGCAGUGAAGGAUGGGAACGCUUGUGUGUGUGUGUGUGUGAGUGUCGGUGGCGAGAGUGAGGUGAGGGGAGGGGAGAGAGGUCGGCAGAUGCGCGCAUCAGCAUAGAGUACCAUAAGAAAUUUGCUCACUCACGGGAGGAUUACAAGACGGCAACCAUGGGCGGGGUGACCAGGCUGGGUCCCGUGCGUGUGUGUGUGCGGCGGCAUGCACAGAGACAUCCUGCUCCUUCCUCCCCUCCCUUCUGCUUCCAUCGAUACUCCGUCACCCUCUCUCUCUGUGUCCGUCUCCCCACUCCCUCUUAACUGUACGUCACCUGUGUAUCACUACAACCUCGACUGUCUUCACCGUUAUGUGCUGCUGCAUGUAACAUCGCUCUGUGUACUCUCUCUCUCUCUUCAGCUUGUAGCGCGCGUCGUCUUCGCCCCCUUUGCCCGCUUCUCUUCCAUUUCACAUCCUCAUCACGUCGUUGCCCCAUCCAUCCCCCCUCCCUUCAGACUGGUCCCCUGAUCGGUUGUGCCAUUGGAGGCAGGGAUGAGGGGGCGGGUGGAUGGGGGGAACGGUGGCGAAGGGGAAGAAGUGGGCCAGGCGUUGUGGGUGGCCGUUGUUUGUACCGUUUCAUUGCUUCACUUCUGUACAUCUUCUCGCGAGUGACACCGCUGUCAUUGCCAUGCCCAGUCCCCAUAGAUGUAUCGCCGCACGAUGUCCUCGUCCACACCGCUGGACAACCAUAUGCGGCC
rnacentral:misc_RNA from 1 species